AAAAAUAUAGUUGAUUGACAGAGUUGUGUCAAUUUCUGCUAUACAGCAAAGUGACCAGGUAUACACACACACACACACACACACACACACACACACACACACACAUUCUUUUUCUCAUAUUAUCUUCCAUCAUGAUCUAUCCCAAGAGACUGGAUACAGUUCCCUGGGCUGUACAGUAGGACCCCUAUUGCUUAUCUAUUCUAAAUGUAAUAGUUUGUGUCUAUCAACCCCCAACUCCCAGUCCAUCCCACCCCCUCCCCACUCCCUCUUGGGAACUACAAGUCCAUUCUUUAUGUUUGUGAGUCUGUUUCUGUUUUGCAGGUGGGUUCUUCUGUGCCAUAUUUUAGGAUCGGCAGAGAACAAUAGCUUGAUCCUGAAUUUGUGGGUAAGGCUUUGGGAGACCAAGAACGUCAAUACUACAGGUCAAUGUGAAAAUGGCAUGACUCCUUUGAAAAUGAUUCACUCUUCGACUCAACAGUCUAAUCCUGGGAAUCCAUUCCAUAGAGGACUAGUUACCCCAAUUAUGGCACAGCCACACAACAUGGCUGUGAAAAAGAAGGGGCACACUUUUAUGUAUUGACAUGGAGCCAUCUCCAGGAUCUAUCAUGAAUUGGAGGAAAACAGAACAAAGCAAGAUGCAGAACCAUGCACACCACCUGCUUUCCUUUGGAUACAAAAUGUUUAUUUACAGCUGAUUGUUUUUCACAGAAAGACUAGAAGGAUGAACAAGAAACCAGGGAAAUGGUUAAUCUAUACAAGGUGAGGGCCAGAGAGGUCAGGGGUGAAGCUAUUGUGAUCAAAACAAUAAAAUCGAGUUUCCAAAAAUGAGACCUGAGGAGAACUCAGAUGCUCUCCCAAGAGCAGAGAAGCCAGAAUACUGAAACAUGAAGGUUGACAGACAAGCCUCUAUAGCCUUUGUCACAGUAACAGAAUGUCAGGCCUGGUGGGGGUAGGGAGGGGGAAGUCUGGAAGACACUUAGGUCAGGAUAAGAUGGAUUGAAUGAGGAGAAGGCAGAUGCUUGCUCAAGAUGACUAAGUAAGUGAUGGGGCAAGAAGACACAUGCUUACUUCCAGUUGGGUAUUUAAGUCCUGCACAUCUCAAAGCUUACUGGGGCACUGGGGCACAGUCACCGAUGUCAGCAUUGCUUUGGGUCUUCCUUAAAAAUAUUGAUCCUAUUGCCUCUCCUUCUAGGGAAUCCUAAUUAACUCAGGAAGAUACUUGCAGGUUUCUGAGGGAGGGAACCAUCCCAUGAUAAAAAGAGUCAAUGUGAUAUAUAUAUAGCAUAGGAUGGGCCAAACAAACCAAGAUAAAAGGGAGGUUUUUAAAAGACAAGUGAAAAGAUGAGGGUGAAAGGAAACACUGUUCAUGAUGCUGCUGGGGCUUCAUAAAUAGAUGAGGAUGCUGACUGGGGGGGAGGCUGGGAGCCAAUCACUAACCUUUUCUGCCUGCCCUAGAUUGAGAGCCAGCUUGGUGGAUAUGUUAGAAAGGAUACUGUCUCCUUUUCUAAUUACAUUCCUUUAAAAGUAUGCUGAUUUAUUUAUUUAUAAUACAGUUCUUGGCCUAAUUAAACAUGGAAUUUUCCCCCACUUGAUCCAGCCUCAUCAUCUUUCUGGGUAACCCAUGUAAUUGAAUCUGGAAACAAUGAUGCUGAGUGAUAGCUUGGGAUAUUGCUACUUAUUGUGAAAAUAAAUAAUAAGGAAAGAGGAGGCUGCUAGGCUGAUUUCAGGGAAGUUUAAAUCAGUUCUUUGUUACUUGGAUUGAAUUUUAACAAUAGAUAAAGAUAAUAUGAUAUUUUCCUUAAUGAAACUAUAAAACCCUGGGCAAGUUAUGAGGGAGAUUUACCUUUCUGAGGCUGUAGCUUCCAAUAUUUUGGCUCACAGUUUGCAAGGUCUCUGUGCUCUGUCCUCCCCCCACCCCAUAACUUCAACCUUAAAUUCCAGGAACUGUUCUUUUCCUGGGCAAAUUUACCAUAAUUCCAUUCACAUUUAUUUAGCACUCCGUAGGUUGACAUUUACUGUCAAAUCUAUUCCAUGAAAAGAAGGCAAGAUGGGCAUUGGGUGGCAGAAAAUCUAACAUUAUUGGUCCAGGAUCACAAAGUCUAUCUACGCAAACCCAGGUGUCCUAAUUCCCAAUUAGGGGCAUGCCCAACACUUCCAGACAAAUAGCCAAUGGAUUUUGGCUUCUAGGUUCAAAGAAGUUCCUAGAGACACCAGUAGUGUGAUUUACUGAAAGGUGCUUGACAUUUUCCAGGCAAAAGUCCUGGUUGCUGGUUACUAGGAAAUCACCCUGGUUUUUCCUGAGCUCAUCUUGGUUGUACAGUAGGAACAUGUUUCUGGGGUUUGGCUGGGUGAGGAGGGAAGGCUGGGAUGGCAGAAUGUUAGAAAUGGUCUCUGUCUUUUUUCUUCAAGUCUUAGAGCAAAAUCUCUAAAAAAACUAGAAUAGAUAUAUCUCCUUUUCUCCGCACCUCAAAGAUUCACACAUCACAUUAUCUUUUGGCAAACUGUUUUUCCUUCUUUUUUUUAGCCUCACCUGUGGCAUAUGAGAGUUUCUAGGCUAGGGGGUCGAAUCAGAGCUGCAGUUGCAGCCUAUCCACAGCCACAGCAACGCUGGAUCCAAGGCACAUCUGUGACCUACACCACAGCUUGUGGCAAUGCGGAUCCUUAACCCACUAAUCGAGGCCAGGGAUCAAACCUGCAUUCUCAUGCACACUAUGUGGGGUUCUUAAUUUGCUGAGCCACAACAGGAACUCCUCUUUUUUGCAACUUUAAUAAUUAUCUCUAGAAGGAUUUUCCUGAAUAUGAGCACUUUCUUUUUUCCAUUGACCCCAGUUCUUCAACAGAGCUCCUUCUACUGACCCAGCACUUUAAAUCCUGAGAUCGAUGUUAAUCUGCCUAGUCUUAAACACUCCUUGGACGAGUUCUGGCAAGGGAACCUUUCCAAAUGUCGCCAUGUGCUUUUUAGCCAAGUAUGAAACUCUGAGGUCCCCAAGGAAACCAAACACCUGUUGAUUAUAUUUUUCUCUGCUUUUUUUCAUCUAAUUGCAAUUUACCUACUUCCCUUGAGCAGGGUGAGGAUUCACUGCCCUUGGGUAACUUUCAAGUCUGUAAAGGAUUUCUGCCUCCUUGAGGCACGUGCUCUCUGAGACAGAAACGAAAUAAUACGAUACUUAAUGGGUAACAGCCUCAGACAGUCUGCUCUCUGUGUGAGCACUUCAGCCAUUUGCCAUGUCAUUAACACAGACAAGGCAUUGGAACCAGCCAGUGUGAGAGACCCAGACUGGAGCACCUUCCCUUCCAAAGCCCCUUGGACAAAGAGCAUCUCAACCAUCAGGUGGCUGGGCCAGGCCUGGUAUGCCACCUGGGCAGGCAGGGGGACAUGGCCGUAGGCAGAGUCCGGCACAAAUAUUUGACAGCUUGUCCCUCCCAAGGAACAUUUCCGACACCCAGAGGUUAAUGUCAUCUUAGCUGAUUCUUGGUGCUUCUGACAAGGUGUAGAGGAUAAUGCCUUGUUAUUAGAAGCUUCCCCGAGCAUCGUAGAAUGUUUUGCUGCACCCAUGGCUCUAUGCACCAGACAGCAGCACCAUGUACCCCCACACCUCUGAGUGGUGACAACCUAAAAUGUUUCCAGACAUUGCCCCAUACCC
rnacentral:lncRNA from 1 species